UCGUGGCUCAGUUGGUAGAGCAACGCAUUCGUAAUGCGUGGGUCGUGGGUUCGAGUCCCAUCG
rnacentral:tRNA from 1 species